AUGCAAGUCGAGGGGCAUCGGGAAGAAAGCUUGCUUUCUUUGCCGGCGACCGGCGCACGGGUGAGUAACACGUAUCCAACCUGCCCUUUACUCGGGGAUAGCCUUUCGAAAGAAAGAUUAAUACCCGAUGGCAUAAUGAUUCCGCAUGGUUUCAUUAUUAAAGGAUUCCGGUAAAGGAUGGGGAUGCGUUCCAUUAGGUUGUUGGUGAGGUAACGGCCCACCAAGCCUUCGAUGGAUAGGGGUUCUGAGAGGAAGGUCCCCCACAUUGGAACUGAGACACGGUCCAAACUCCUACGGGAGGCAGCAGUGAGGAAUAUUGGUCAAUGGGCGCUAGCCUGAACCAGCCAAGUAGCGUGAAGGAUGAAGGCUCUAUGGGUCGUAAACUUCUUUUAUAUAAGAAUAAAGUGCAGUAUGUAUACUGUUU
rnacentral:rRNA from 1 species